rnacentral:rRNA from 1 species
GAUGAACGCUGGCGGCGUGCCUAAUACAUGCAAGUCGAGCGAACAGACGAGGAGCUUGCUCCUCUGACGUUAGCGGCGGAAGGGUGAGUAACACGUGGAUAACCUACCUAUAAGGCUGGGAUAACUUCGGGAAACCGGAGCUAAUACCGGAUAAUAUAUUGAACCGCAUGGUUCAAUAGUGAAAGACGGUUUUGCUGUCACUUAUAGAUGGAUCCGCGCCGCAUUAGCUAGUUGGUAAGGUAACGGCUUACCAAGGCGACGAUGCGUAGCCGACCUGAGAGGGUGAUCGGCCACACUGGAACUGAGACACGGUCCAGACUCCUACGGGAGGCAGCAGUAGGGAAUCUUCCGCAAUGGGCGAAAGCCUGACGGAGCAACGCCGCGUGAGUGAUGAAGGUCUUCGGAUCGUAAAACUCUGUUAUUAGGGAAGAACAAAUGUGUAAGUAACUAUGCACGUCUUGACGGUACCUAAUCAGAAAGCCACGGCUAACUACGUG